GACGAACCGUGCGAACGUUGUUCGGAAUCACUGGGUUUAAAGGGCGCGUAGGCGGGCUGUCAAGUCGGUGGUGAAAUCUUUCGGCUCAACCGGAAAAUCGCCUUCGAUACUGGCGGCCUUGAGGGAGGUAGGGCAGUGCGGAACUUCCGGUGGAGCGGUGAAAUGCGUAGAUAUCGGAAGGAACACCGAUGGCGAAAGCAGCGUGCUGGACCUUUUCUGACGCUGAGGCGCGAAAGCCAGGGGAGCAAACGGG
rnacentral:rRNA from 1 species